AUUGAACGCUGGCGGCAGGCCUACCACAUGCAAGUCGCACGAGUGGCGGACGGGUGAGUAAUGUCUGGGAAACUGCCUGAUGGAGGGGGAUAACUACUGGAAACGGUAGCUAAUACAGCAUACCAUCGGAUGUGCCCAGAUGGGAUUAGCUAGUAGGUGGGGUAAAGGCUAACCUAGGCGACGAUCCCUAGCUGGUCUGAGAGGCUGACCAGCCACACUGGAACUGAGACACGGGCCAGCCUCCUACGGGAGGCAGCAGUGGGGAAUAGUGCACAAUGGGCGCAAGCCUGAUGCAGCCAUGCCGAGUGUAUGAAGAAGGCCUUCGGGUUGUAAAGUACUUUCCGCGGGGAGGCGUGACCCGCAGAAGACGAACCGGCUAACUCCGUGCCAGCAGCCGCGGUAAUAC
rnacentral:rRNA from 1 species